UACGUAGGGUGCAAGCGUUAAUCGGAAUUACUGGGCGUAAAGCGUGCGCAGGCGGUUUUGUAAGUCUGACGUGAAAGCCCCGGGCUCAACCUGGGAAUUGCGUUGGAGACUGCAAGGCUUGAAUCUGGCAGAGGGGGGUAGAAUUCCACGUGUAGCAGUGAAAUGCGUAGAGAUGUGGAGGAACACCGAUGGCGAAGGCAGCCCCCUGGGUCAAGAUUGACGCUCAUGCACGAAAGCGUGAGGAGCAAACAGG
rnacentral:rRNA from 1 species